UACGAAGGGGGCUAGCGUUGCUCGGAAUCACUGGGCGUAAAGGGUGCGUAGGCGGGUCUUUUAAGUCAGGGGUGAAAUCCUGGAGCUCAACUCCAGAACUGCCUUUGAUACUGAAGAUCUUGAGUUCGGGAGAGGUGAGUGGAACUGCGAGUGUAGAGGUGAAAUUCGUAGAUAUUCGCAAGAACACCAGUGGCGAAGGCGGCUCACUGGCCCGAUACUGACGCUGAGGCACGAAAGCGUGGGGAGCAAC
rnacentral:rRNA from 1 species